GUGUGAUAUAUUCGAAGGUGACA
rnacentral:siRNA from 1 species